rnacentral:rRNA from 1 species
CAGCCGCCGCGGGAAUACGUAGGGUGCGAGCGUUAAUCGGAAUUACUGGGCGUAAAGCGUGCGCAGGCGGUUGUGCAUGACAGAUGUGAAAUCCCCGAGCUUAACUUGGGAACUGCAUUUGUGACUGCAAGGCUAGAGUGUGUCAGAGGGGGGUAGAAUUCCACAUGUAGCAGUGAAAUGCGUAGAUAUGUGGAGGAAUACCGAUGGCGAAGGCAGCCCCCUGGGAUAACACUGACGCUCAUGCACAAAAGCGUGGGGAGCAAACAGGAUUAGAUACCCCGGUAGUCCCUGUCUCUUAUAC